rnacentral:ncRNA from 1 species
CUCAAGGGGUCUACCGCGAUUACCCCGUGAGGCGGCAGCCGAAGUAUCGCGUCCGAACCCUCUUGUUGAGGUGGACGCCAUG